rnacentral:rRNA from 1 species
UCCUACGGGAGGCAGCAGUGGGGAAUUUUGGACAAUGGGCGAAAGCGUGAUCCAGCAAUGCCGCGUGUGUUAAGAAGCCUUCGGUUGUAAAGCACUUUGUCCGGAAAGAAAUCCGUCUGGCUAAUGCCCGGAUGGGAUGACGGUACCGUAAGAAUAAGCACCGGCUAACUACGUGCCAGCAGCCGCGUUAAUACGUAGGGUGCGAGCGUUAAUCGGAAUUACUGGGCGUAAAGCGUGCGCAGGCGGUUAUGCAAGACAGGUGAAAUUCCCGGGCUCACCUGGAACUGCAUUGUGACUGCAGCUAGAGUGCGUCAGAGGGAGGUGAUUCCGCGUGUAGCAGUGAAAUGCGUAGAGAUGCGGGGACACCGAUGCGAAGGCAGCCUCCUGGGAUGACACUGACGCUCAUGCACGAAAGCGUGGGAGCAAACAGGAUUAGAUACCCUGGUAGUCCACGCCCUAAACGAUGUCAACUAGUUGUCGGGGAUUCAUUUCCUUGGUAACGCAGCUAACGCGUGAAGUUGACCGCCUGGGGAGUACGGCCGCAAGGUUAAAACUCAAAGGAAUUGACGGGGACCCGCACAAGCGGUGGAUGAU